CUGGAGUCUGGAAAGAGGUGGGAUGGGGGUCCUCGAACUCCUUUGGCCCAUUCAGAGGUGCCCCGGGCUUGUAUUUCGCCCUUUGCCCGUUCAUUGAUUACACUGGUGCCUCGGAUGCUGGGCUGGCUGCCUCCGCCCCUUGACCUCUCGUUCACCACGUUGGUGUCAUAUUUGGGUUUUUGCAGCAAAUCUGCUCCUAGAGCAGCAACAUAAACAGAGCAUGACUCAGGGAACUGAAGAGAUGUAGCAGGUGAAGGGCAAGAGGUAUGAUCAAGGUCCAGGGAAGUGACGUCAGUCGUUACUACUAAGAACUUUGCAUAGGUUGAGCUAUGGAAAUGAGUGACAGAUCUCAGAAGUUAGGUGUCUUCGGAAAAGAAAACAUCAGGCGAUUCAGGCGAUUAACUCAGUAGUCCUCAAUUUUUCCCCUGAUGCAAAAAUUCACCGGAGGAGAGUACUCCUUUCCAGACAUGAAUACAGAGUGCCACCUGAAGGGCUGGUGGAAGACUGAAGCUUCCUCUUUAGUAAAUUUGCAGGUGGAUCUUUCAAGCGCAAGUGGAUCACACAGGCAAAAGAACACCCAACCACAGGUGGACCACGGGAGCAAGACAAUGUUCCGAGGAAGAGACAUCAGCAGGUUUGCAUGCAGUGGAAAGAUGAUGAAGAAUCUGAGCUUCUGCCUUAAUGAUUAACUAAGACUGUUUCUCCUUGUUCCAUUUAAAAAUUGUCAUGACUGAGCAGGAUCAUCAGAGUUGGUCUCUGGACAUAAGUUCACCAUCUCCUCAGAUUGCUGACUUUUCUUCUUUAUCAAAGCUUGCCCUUCGAUUUAUUAGCUGUUGAGCAGCAAGCGGCCAAGCUUGCACACAGUUAUAAAAUGUAAUUUGUUGUUUGUUUAGUCGUUCAGUUGUGUCUGACUCUUUGCGACCCCUUGGACUAUAGCCCACUAGGUUCCUCUGUUUGUGGGGUUUCCCACGCAAGAAUACUGGAGUGGGUUGCCAUUUCUUCCUCCAGGGGAUCUUCCCAACCCAGGGAUUGAACCUGCAUCUCCUGCAUUGCAGGCCAAUUCUUUACGGCUGAACCACUGGGGAAGCCUCAUACUAUGUAAUACUUAAUUGCCAUCAAAAGAUCCCAGCCUAUCUUUUCAGAACCUUUCUUUUUCUGUUACUCUUGGGAUUUUUAACACUCUCCAUGAUUCGAAUUCCCAUCUUUCCCGUCUUUGGUCAUAGACAGAAAAUGGACUUAUCAUGCAUAUUUGAUGUUUACAUUCUAUAAUCCUUCAGGUUUCAACUCAGACAUGACUGCUUCAUGACACCUUUUCCAAACUCUAAAGUUCUGAGCAAUUCUGAGGUGGGAAAUAGUGGAAUUCUGGCUUAACAGAGGUGAAGGUGCCAACAGAUGGGUAUUGGCCAACAUUAUUCAGACACAGCUUGUAAAUUAUCUUCCACAAAUGUAUCUUGGACAAUCCAUAAAUCACUGAAAUUGUUUUCCCUGUCAGUCUGUUCAAGGGCGGACUUUCC
ensembl:lncRNA